rnacentral:rRNA from 1 species
AACGAACGCUGGCGGCAUGCCUAACACAUGCAAGUCGAACGAGACCUUCGGGUCUAGUGGCGCACGGGUGCGUAACGCGUGGUAACCUGCCCUUAGGUUCGGAAUAACUCCCCGAAAGGGGUGCUAAUACCGGAUAAUGUCUUCGGACCAAAGAUUUAUCGCCUUUGGAUGGGCCCGCGUUGGAUUAGCUAGUUGGUAGUGUAAAAGCCUACCAAGGCGACGAUCCAUAGCUGGUCUGAUAGGAUGAUAAGCCACACUGGGACUGAGACACGGCCCAGACUCCUACGGGAGGCAGCAGUGGGGAAUAUUGGACAAUGGGCGAAAGCCUGAUCCAGCAAUGCCGCGUGAGUGAUGAAGGCCUUAGGGUUGUAAAGCUCUUUUACCCGGGAUGAUAAUGACAGUACCGGGAGAAUAAGCUCCGGCUAACUCCGUG